rnacentral:tRNA from 1 species
CGGCGUCUUGCUCAAUGGUAGAGCCGCUGGCUUACAUCCAGCAGACGGUGGUUCGAUUCCAUCGACGCCGACCA